UACAGAGGGUGCGAGCGUUAAUCGGAAUUACUGGGCGUAAAGCGUGCGUAGACGGUCAUGUAAGUCGGAUGUGAAAGCCCCGGGCUCAACCUGGGAAUUGCAUUCGAGACUGCAAGGCUUGGGUGCGGAAGAGGGAAGCGGAAUUCCGGUGUAGCGGUGAAAUGCGUAGAUAUCGGAAGGAACACCAGUGGCGAAGGCGACUCACUGGCCCGGUACUGGACGCUGAGGUGCGAAAGCGAUGGGGAGCAAACGGGG
rnacentral:rRNA from 1 species